rnacentral:lncRNA from 1 species
UUUUUUUUUUUUUUUUUUUUUUUAAUAGCUAGGUCUUCUAAUCACCAGGAUUUGGGAGCCAGUGCCCCCAGCAGGGAGGGACUCUUGAAUAGGUGUACUGUACUGUGAGGGACAGCUCUGUCCAUUACUCUGCCUCUCCUCCAUCUCACCUUUAUUUUGGCUUUUCCCUAAAAGGAUCAGACUCUGUCCAGUUGCCCUGCUUGGACCCCCUAGCCUUGUCUAGGACUAAAACUCUGCUGUCAACCCCUCACCAGGGGCUGGGACUUUUGCUUUCCAGCCUCUCUCAGGCCAGGUCCCUUCUCUGAUACCAGAGAUUCCUCCCACCCGCCCACCCAUUCCCCCUACUAGAGACUUUUCUUACAUCUAGGCUUUGGUAGGUAGGGUCUUACCCAUGCACAGAUCUCCCAGUUGUUGAACACACUGAACUCUCCCUGCUACUCUUUGGGCGAAUUGGAUGUCAUGCUAGUCUUCUCAGCUGUACUUCUGGAACAAGCUUCUUAGCUUAGUUGGGCCCUGUCCUGAAUUUCAUGCUAGUUCUCCAACUGCCUCUGCCUCAAAAACAGCUUUUAAUAUGCAUUUGUAAAGCUUCAAAAGAGAGAUAGAGAAUAUAACCUUUUCCAAACUUAGUUAACUAGAGAAUAUUUAUUUAUUUAACGAGCAUGUGUGAAAGCACAAGCAGGGGAAGUGGCACGCAGAGGGAGGGGAGAAGUGGGUUCCCUGCUUGUGGGGAGGGACCCAUGGGAUCAUGACCUGAGCUGGAGGCAGACAAUCACCCAGGUGUCCUGAGAACCAUUAUUUUUUUUUGAAGUGAUAUUAAAAUCUCAUGGAGUAUGGUGUUUGGUGCAGCACAGUUUUGGAAAGUAUGAGGCUUUAUCCUAAAGGAGUAGAUCUCAAACUGAGGAAUUCCAGGUGAAGGUAAUGUGACAGUCAGUGAAAAAACAUUAUUUGGGGGUAGGAAAUCUCUCUUGGUCCUCUUCAUUCAGCACAUGCCUACUGAGCACCUAGUAUUUACCAGUCUUUCUGCUGGAAUCACAUCAUGUGUUUGACUACUUAACUGUAUGGCAUCUGUGUAAGGACAGCUGUGAUCUGGAGUGUAUGUGUAAGGUGGGGAGGAGGUAGGGAUUCUACAUUCUUUCUCCUACAUUUGGAUCUUCUUCCUCUUUCUUCCAGUUAAAACAGGAAGAAAGGAAGUACUGAGUAGGGUGAUGUCAUCAGCUUCUGGAUCCAAGGAAGGCUUCUCUGAGGCUUCUUUCCCCAGGUUUGACCUCUUCUAGGAUUUCUCCAGCACUCCUGAGCACCCCUUCCGUCUCACUCUGGGAGUAAUCAUCUCAGCAUCAGUUUCAAGUCUUAUUGCUAGUUCAGGAUUUUGACUUCACAUACGAGAUCAGUGCUAACUGGGAUGGAGCUCAUUUUUUAUGGAAUGAUUAUGACAUUGUAAACUUUGUACUUUCCCUAUGAAAUCCCUCUCUUAUAGCUCAGGGGUAGUCUAGAUGAUUACUUUUUUCAACUUUUCAGUGGAGAUAAAUGCAUGCACGGUAGGCAGGGCAGUCUUGUGGGUGGAGAGCAUUUAAAUCUGACAGUGGGGUUGACCAGGUGCCUGGAGCUCUAGCUGGCAGAACUGGUAACCAACCAAAGAGGAAACUAGUUAUUUCCUUUGUAUGCCAUUCUCUACUGGGACAGCCUGGAAAAGACCACUUGAAGCAGACAGAAAUCUCCAACUAAGACUUCUGAUUAAGAAAUUUUAGGUCCUUUUGAGAUCCUGGUGUAUGUAUGUGUCUUUACUAUCAUGAGUGAGAUCUUUGGUUGGCCAGUCUUUAACAGAGUUGGAUGACCUAAUCAUGAAACAAACUAUAUACAAAGGUUUAGCUUUGAUCUCACGCUUAGAUAUGAUGUUCAUCCAACAGUUAGCAUCUUCUACCCAUAGGCCCCACCCUAGGGGCCUUGGUCUAGGGUUCCUGUCCAUUUCUGCCACUUCCUCUGAAAUGCUAUGUUUUUUUUUUUUUUUUUAAGAUUUUAUUUAUUUAUUCAUGAGAGAGAGAGGCAGAGACACAGGCAGAGGGAGAAGCAGGCUCUCCGUGGGGAGCCCAAUGCAGGACUCAAUCCUGGGACUCGAUCCUAGGACUCCAGGAUCACACCCUGGGCCGAAGGCAGGCGCUAAACCACUGAGCCCCCCCACCCUACCCCACCCCCAGGAUCCCCUGAAAUGCUAUGGUUUUAACUGAAGAUCAGAGAGUGAGCUCACAGGAAUGUCAGAAGAGGGCUUGUAAUAGUCAUUUAGAGAUCUUCAGUAGAGCCAGUUAUUUGGUCCUUCUGUAGGUAUUUAUAAGUAUUGGCAUAUAAAACUAUAUGUAUGCUGUAGCUGUGAUAGCUGUAUAUGUAGCUAUAAGUGUGAUAACUGUAACUUUCUAUAAUCCUCCAGGGUCAUUAGUAGUCUUGCUUCUGCAUCAUUGUCUUCCCUGUUUUCCCACCAGGAAUUAAGUAGGCUCUGAAUGUAAUGUAAGAUGUUUAGAAUGUCCCUUCCUCCCUCCCUCCCUGUCUCACUUGUGCAUGUGCUCACUCUCUCUUUCUCUCUCGCUGGGGUCCUUGUCUGCAAGGCAUCUCUAGUUGAACUUAGUAGAGAAGUUAACAAAUAGGAAAAAAAAGGACAAGUAAAGGUUACACCGAGGUUCAGAUUCUAGGUAAAAUGGAAGUUUUGGAAAGGGAUCACCUGAGAGCUAAAACCUUGGAGAAAGUUUCAUGGAAGAGAUGAUUGUUGACUAAGGACACACUAAGUAAGGUAGGGACUGGAACACCCCGAUGGGAGCAUGUGGAGUGGGGAAGGAAUGGAGUAAAAUCCUCAGAUUAUUUCUUGUGCAAGCAGAGUAACUAGUACCUCCCCCACUGGUCUCUUCUGUAAAUCACCACUGAACCUCAUGUAGUUUGGUCCUUUUUAAAGAUUUACUUAUUUAUUUAUUUACUCAUUCAUUCAUUCAUUCAUUCGAGACACAGAGAAAAAGGCAGAGACACAGGCAGAGGGAAAAGCAUACAUCCUGCACGGAGCCUGAUGCAGGACUUGAUCCCCAGACCCCAGGAUCAUGACAUGAGCCAAAGGCUCAACUACUGAGCCACCAGGUGUCCCAAGUUUGGUCCUUUUUAAAAGCUUCUGAAGAUUGAGUAUCUUAAUGUAACCCAUUAGUUAGCUGGAACCAUCUUUUCCCCUAAAAAUUUGGCUCAAAGUGUCAUUCUACAGAUUGUAGAGUCUGAUUCCUUCACCCAGAUUCUUCAAAUUCCUAGGAGCUCAUGUAUUUACGGUCAUUCUAAUUUUGAGCUCUUGCUUCCACUAAAUUAGUUCAGAUUAUAGAUGGUCUUACUGUCUCAAGCAUGCUGUCUCUGUUUCCAUCCACAUUCACCCAGAUGUAGAGCUCAAAUAUCUCCCAGCUAAAGCCUGUAUGUGUGUAGCAGACUUUAUUAAAGAUUUAGGAUAAUGGAGAGUGUUUUACAUUGCCGGAAAGCAGCAACUUGAAUUCUAAUACUGGCUAUCCCUAUCCCUUAAAGUAUUUUUUUGUCUAUAUCUCCAUUAGAGAUUCAUCACUAUGUAUAUCACCCAUGUACCUAGGGCUUUGGUCUCUUAUAAUCAUUCCUCUGCAAACUUUCCUAACUCUGUUGCCACUAAAUAUUCCCGAUACUACUUCCUCUGUUAUGCAAAGCAAUUGAAUUCUACUCUGUCUUCCAAACUUACUUCCAUAUGUCCAAAGCCCACUGAAAUGGUUCUGCUGAGUAAAAAUUCAUCCACUUUAGCCACACAAAGUAUUUUUAGAACCUCUGAUGUGUUCUUUUAUGUUAUUUCUCUCCUUUGAAAGCAUUUCUUGUGUGGGGCACCUGGGUGGCACAGUCAGUUAAGUAUCUGACUCUUGGUUUCAGCUCAGGUCAAGAUUGCAGGUCAUGAUCUCAGGGUUGUGAGACUGAGUCCUGUGUCAGGCUCCAUGCUCAAUGUGAAGUCUGCUUGAAAUUCUUUCUCCUCCCACUCCCCCUCCUGCUCACUCUCUUUCUCUAAAACAUAAAUAAAUAUUUUUUAAAAAACAUUUCUUGUUUUAAAUAGCAUUUACUAUUUCUUUUUUUUCUUUCUUUCUUUUUUUUUUUUUACUAUUUCUUUUUUUAAAGUUAACUCUACACCCAAUGUGGGGCUUGAACUCAUGACCCUGAGAUUAGGAGUUGCAUGCUCUGCCAACUGAGCCACCCAGGCACCCCAGCAUUUACUACUACUUUUUUUUUAAAUUUAAAUUAAUUUUUUUUUUUUUUUUUAGCAUUUACUACUUACCUCAGAAAUGGUUUUGCUUUGAAGAAUCUGUGGAGGGAAGGUAAGAGGAUGUUCCAGGCUAGGAGAACAAUGUGUAUAUAGGCAGCAGUCUGCAUAAAACCUAUUGUGGGCAAUGAAAAAAAAUAUUCUAUCUGGAAAUAAGAAUUUUUGUUGGUGAGCAGAGCUCAAGAUUGAUUAGAAAGUCCAGAAACAGAUCUAACUUUUAGUGGAAAGCAUAGUGUUGGGGUUUGUUUCUUUCUUUCUUUCUUUUUCUUUCUUUCUUUCUUUUUUUUUUUUAAAGAUAUUACUUAUUCAUGAGAGACACAGAGAGGCAGAGACACAGGCAGAGGGAGAAGCAAGCUCCCUAUGGCGGGCCUGAUGUGGGGCUCAAUCCUGGAACCCCAGGGUCAUGCCCUGAGCUGAAGGCAGACGCUCCACCACUGAGCCACCCAGGCGUCCCAAGGAUAGUGUUUAGAAUGAAUGUCUUAACUAAUUAAAAAAAAAAAAUUCCUGUUACCUUCUAGCAAAAUAUAUUAUAGAUGGAUUAAAGGUUUUUAAUAUAAAAACUAAAAUAAUAAGUAUACUAAAAAAAGUUAUUUUCUUUUUUUUUUUUUAAACAUUUUGUUUCUUUUUUUUUUUUUUUAAUUUUUAUUUACUUAUGAUAGGCACACAGUGAGAGAGAGAGAGAGGCAGAGACACAGGCAGAGGGAGAAGCAGGCUCCAUGCACCAGGAGCCCGACGUGAGAUUCGAUCCCGGGUCUCCAGGAUCGCGCCCUGGGCCAAAGGCAGGCGCUAAACCGCUACGCCACCCAGGGAUCCCAAAAAGUUAUUUUCUUUUUAAAAAAUUCUUAUUAGAGAGAGCAUGAAGGGGGAGAGG